rnacentral:rRNA from 1 species
UACGGAGGGUGCAAGCGUUAUCCGGAUUCACUGGGUUUAAAGGGCGCGUAGGCGGUCUCGUCAGUCGGGUGUGAAAGCCCGGGGCUCAACCCCGGAACGGCACCCGAGACGGCGGGACUGGAGACCGGGAGAGGAGGGUGGAAUAGCCAGUGUAGAGGUGAAAUUCGUAGAUAUUGGCUGGAACACCGGUGGCGAAAGCGGCUCUCUGGCCCGGUUCUGACGCUGAGGCGCGAAAGCGUGGGGAGCAAAAGGG